GACGAACGCUGGCGGCGUGCUUAACACAUGCAAGUCGAACGCUGAAGCUCAGCUUUUGUUGGGUGGAUGAGUGGCGAACGGGUGAGUAACACGUGAGUAACCUGCCUCCUUCUUUGGGAUAACGCCCGGAAACGGGUGCUAAUACUGGAUAUUCACUGGUCUUCGCAUGGGGGUUGGUGGAAAGGGUUUUUCUGGUGGGGGAUGGGCUCGCGGCCUAUCAGCUUGUUGGUGGGGUGAUGGCCUACCAAGGCUUUGACGGGUAGCCGGCCUGAGAGGGUGACCGGUCACAUUGGGACUGAGAUACGGCCCAGACUCCGACGGGAGGCAGCAGUGGGGAAGAUGGCACAAUGGGCGCAAGACUGAUGCAGCGACGCCGCGUGAGGGAUGGAGGCCUUCGGGUUGUGAACCUCUUUCGCUCAUGGUCAAGCCGCAACAAUGGUUGUGGUGAGGGUAGUGGGUAAAGAAGCGCCGGCUAACUACGUG
rnacentral:rRNA from 1 species